GUUGUUUUCCCGAUCCCUCCCAUUCCAACCACAGAGAUGAUAGGAAGGCCUUGUUGUUGACUAUUUUCGAAGAGCAACGUACGAAUUAUAGCAUUCUUUUCUUGGUCUCUACCAUAAAUUUCGGACACAUCUAUAAACGAGCGAAAUCAUGAUGAAGAACAAUUUUGCGGAAAAAAAAGCACGGGGAUGGCAUACAAAAACAAACCUUGUUGUUUGGAACUUGGAAUUUAAGAACAAAGGUGUUCCAGUCAUCAAUCAGAUCAUCCAUGUCAUAUGAGGUGGCUUUAAGCUUUUCCAACCAGAGUUUAACAGCUGCCUCCUUAACUUGCCGUUUCUCCGCAUCCAUCAACACUGCUUGGAGAGUCUGGAGAGUUGUUUUCAGCUUCUGGGCUUCUUUCCUUACAUCCACAACAAGGGUCACCUCUUUCUCAAUGUCUCGGUAAACAACGGCUGUUAGCUGCUGCAAAACUGCUGAAACAAGUGCAUCGGCCAUGGCUUUGGGAUCAGAAACUAGAGAAAUGGUUGGUUUGGAUGGAAAUGUUGAGUAUCCGUUUGGGGUUUUACUUUUUAGGUUUGGUAGUGUUUGCCUUAGUUUUUCCUCGAACUUUGCUGGAAAUGUUGAGUAUCCGUUUGGGGUUUUACUUUUUAGCUUUGAUAGUGUUUGCCUUUGUUUUUCCUCGAACUUUGCUUACUUUAGAUAAAACCAAAAUUCCAGUCGGUAAUGCACUGGUUUUGACUUC